AAGACUCAUCUGUCAUUUGUCAUCCCGAAUUGUGCGAGUCUGGUUCAGUCUUCCAACAUGCACGGGUGCUUGCUGGUCUUGAUGCUGCUGGCCUGCAGCUGCCAGGCGUUUAACUACAUGGGCACAGCCUUUACCUACCACGCCCUGAAGGGGUCUGACACCAGGACCGUCGUUCGCUACAAGGUGGCCUUCCAGGAGUGCGGAAACGUCACCGUGGUGGACUGUCCGCUGGACAACUGCACGAUCGACGUGGUGUCCGUGAAGAGGGUGGACGAGAACAGCGGAGUGUGGUGUCAGGAUGAAGUGACCGUGCAUGUGGACAUCCCAGAUAAUUUUACGCUGAAUCUGGAUGGCCUCAAGUGGAUCAACGUAACCAAUAACGUCACGGAUGUACUGGCCGUCACACGCGCAGACGUGAGGAUCAGGUCCGACACCGGCCGGCCAAAUAUGUCCCCCCGGGCGACCAUGAUUCCCUUGUACAGGGUACCGUCCAACUGCUAUUUCCAAUCGAGGAUGCCCAUCUUUGACUCAGACGGAGAUGAUGUGGAGUGUUUCCCUUUAAACCCUGACAACAACCCGGAUAUUUUAAAAAUCGUUGACGGUUGUUUCCUAAACUUCCUGCCCAUUUUCAACGACAGCAGCGUGGAGGGCUUGUACGCCGUGCAGGUGGUCAUGGAGGACAGCCCUCUCCAAGACUUGACUCUAACCGACGCCGCGGGGAACGAGAAGUUUAUCCACAAAAAUGAACCCAUCAGCGAAGUUCCCGUCCAGUUUGUUCUGAAGGUGGAUCCACCAGUGGAGUCGUGCCAAGAGGGAAAAUACCUGCCCUUGUUUUUACAUCCUACGCCUAACGACGGAGAUCAUCGAUACGCUUUUGUCAACCAGACCUUGGAGAUUGAUAUCUACGCAAGCGCGGAGGAAUCGACGAUCACACAACUGCUGUUCAGCGGGCCUGCCGGCGUAACAAAGAAAUCAUUGGGCGACGGCAAGUUUGUUCUGGCCUGGACGCCGACUCCAGAAGACUCCGGCCUACGUCAGGCCAUCUGCUUUGUGGUUGAAGCGACAAAAAAUAAUACCAUAUUUCAAUCGAAGAUGCGCUGUGUCAUCGUGGCAGUGGACCACUUGCUUAUGGUCGUGGAUGCCAAAUUCCUGUCCCGAAGCUUCACUACCCGCUUCGAUAUCACUCAUAUCGCCUUACCGCGGCUGAAGAAGGAGCUGGUGGAUCGAGGGCUGCCCCCUGACAUCACGCUGAGAGUGGUGGACUUCAAGGAGGACUAGGAGGUUUUAAUAUGGUGAUUGAUUGUUUAACAAAGACUCGUGAAAUGUGAUAAUUCACUCAGCAUCUUUUUUUUUUCCACUUCACAUGCCUCAACAAAAACCAAGAUCAUUCUUGAAAAUUGAUUGUGGCUUUGCAAUGUCACUAAGGUAUCAGGUGACUUUUUAGUUUAUGUGGUGAAAUUAUUUAAUUCAAUGUAAAUGUUUGCACAAAAUUGCACUUUGACCUUAUUACAACCAUCUGAAUAGUGAAGCUGGCUCUGUCGUGUUGACAGUGCCACUGUAUCAGAUUUAAGUUUUGAUAAAGCGACAGUGGUGACAUGA